rfam:Roseobacter denitrificans OCh 114, complete genome.
UUGCGGACAGCAAACUGCCCGACAUGCAGGCGGGCUGGGAGCAGAUGUGCUCAAACGUGAUGGCCGGGCUUGCGGGGUUGAACAUGGUCUAUGAGGCGG